rnacentral:rRNA from 1 species
GUGCACCAGUCGCGAAACUUUACAAUGUGCGAAAGUACGAUAAGGGAACUCUGAGUGCCUCCUAAGGAGGCUGUUCAGGUGUCUAAAAGCACCUGAAGGAAGGGCUGGGUAAGACCGGUGCCAGCCGCCGCGGUAACACCGGCAGCCCAAGUGGUAGCCACGUUUAUUGGGUCUAAAGCGUCCGUAGCCGGCUGGGUAAGUUCCUUGGGAAAUUUGGCUGCUUAACAGCCAAGCUUUCAGGGGAAUACUGCUCGGCUUGGGGACCGGGAGAGGUCAGAGGUACUCCAGGGGUAGGGGUGAAAUCCAUUAAUCCUUGGGGGACCACCGGUAGCGAAGGCGUCUGACCAGACCGGGUCCGACGGUGAGGGACGAAGGCUA